GGGUGGGCAGGGGCUGUUUCCGGGCUCCGCGGGGGCGCCGGCAGGUGAAGGAGGCGGCCGCUCCCGGCCGGGCGGGCAGGAGAGGCCGCUAUGAGGCUGCUCUUGCUGGCGUCCCUCCGAGCGCAGACCGGCAACGCGACCACCGCGGCCAGGAUACAGAGUCAUCUCCAUGCUGCCGGCCAUAUCUGCGUUCUUAGAGAUGCUUUCAUGUAUGAAAGUCCAACCGAAAUAGCAAACUUGACCUCCACAGACAAGUUCGAUGCGGCCCUGGCCAUUCAUCUUUAUAAAGCCGGCAGACUUCUGCAAGGCAGCAGAAUUCCUUUUGGAAUCAUCUUCGGUGGGACAGAUGUAAACGAAGAUGUCAAAUGUGAAGAGAAACAUCGGGUAAUGGGAGCAGUGCUAGGAGAAGCCAGGUUUGCAGUGGCUUUCACAGUGAAAAUGAAGGAACUGGCAGCAGCAGAAUGGCCAGAUGCUAGGAAGAAAAUCUAUGUCCAAACUCAAGGAAUUAAGACAACACCAAGUGAAACAUUUGAUUGGUACAGAUUUCUGCAAAACGCAGACAUUCCUCCAGAUACAGCCAGUUUACACGUGUUUCUGUUGAUAUGCGGACUUCGAAGAGUCAAAGAUCCUCUCUAUUUAGUAGAAGUAUUUUCAGACUGGCACAGAAGGGAUCCCAGUGUCCAUCUGUGCAUAAUUGGACCUGCAGUUGAUCCGCUUUUUACAAGUGAAGUUAAGGAAAAAGUUAAAAGGGCCCCUGGAGUACAUUUAUUACAGGAGAUGCCACAAGAUGAUCUUCAUGCUGCUAUGAAAAGGUGUUUUGCCGUGGUGAACAGCUCCAUUUCGGAGGGGAUGUCUGCGGCAAUCCUGGAGGCAAUGGAUUUAGAUAUUCCAGUGCUGGCAAGGAACAUUCCUGGGAAUGCAGCAAUAAUAAACCACAAGGAGACAGGACUGCUAUUUUCAAAUCCCCAGGAGCAUAAAAUUGAAGUUGGAAUGUAGCUCAGUGUGAACGGUAUUUAUCACGGUGAUUAUACCGGCAAGUGGUUGAAGCCACCAUAAGUCAGAGCUUGUUGCACUAAUGCUACUCUGGAAGAGCUUGUUGCUGAUGCCCAUCUUCUCUGCCUACUAUGACUAUAUUUAUGUAGUGAUUUGUUUUCCAGUCUUACCAUAGAAUUAACUAAAGAGAUCACAGGAGCAAUGCGAUCUAAGUUUAGCUGAGCUGAGAUCAAACACCUGAUGCCAGUUGUCUUCAAUACAGCAGAACAGGAGUUUGUGGUGCUCUCCAGGAGUUUGAUGAAUGACCCCAUUAUGGAAAGAGAAAUUGUAACAAGGGCCAAAGCCUAUGUGAAGAAGCAUCACUCAUGGGAAAGUGAACGAAAAGCCUAUCAGAACCUUGUCCUGAGGCUCCAGUGAACUGCAAGACUACAGCUGCUGCCCAGCAGUCUGUGCAGAGCACUUCAGUGAUGGAUGUGUAAUUAGGUUUGGGUUUCUCUUGGUUUCUUUUUAGAAGAGAUAGUAAGACAUACAUUCCUUUUCUGUUUAAGCAUACCAACGUGACAGCAGUCGCCUGCUACUUCCAACCACCAAAUCCGUCUAAUUCCACACACUGUCUCUAGUGGAUUAAUUCAUCACAGACCAAUCUAAUUUUGUGACAUCACGUAGGGGAAGGUAGAUACAACUGUUGUUGUAAGGCCUCAAAGGGAGGACGAUUUCUCAUGCACCGUGGAGCGUUGUUCUACUACACAGAGCUUACAGCGAGCGUUCCAUCACGCUGCAUCCGAACCACCUCCAGCAGUUUUCUUUCCCAUUAAACCAAUCCGAAUGUAUUCAGGUAUGUGACACACAUUUGUGUUCAUAAAACCAAGACAGGUUGUAUAAGAAGAGUACAAAAUUGUUAGGAUGAAAGCCGUCUUAAGACUGAAAGAUCAACAUAUCUAUUGACUGUAUGAUGAGCAAGGGGCCAAAAAGCAAAUGAAACGUUGAUGUUUGGGGAAUGUUUUGUGCUGCCCCCUUAGUAGUGCAUUGCUUCAGCUGAGCUGAUGUGGCCAGGCGGUCCUGGGCUUUCUCAGGCUGGCUUCACGAUCCUGCCCGCAGCAGCUCGACCUGCUCGCACUCCGGCUGCUGCGUUACGGAGCUACCUCUUGGUUCACCAGUUCCUUUAGUACCUCUGGGAUUUAUUUAUUUACUAAAACACCUAAAAGAUUUAUGGAAGCUGUAAAAAGGGAUGAAACGGGGAAGGUAUUUUCAGUUUACUGUGUAUUUUGGUACUGUUCAUUCUCGUUUGUGGCUUUCAGGAUGUAUUGCAAUAUACUGCAGCAGGCUAUUUAAAGUGAGACUUACCUGUUGUGCUUGAAAUCCAUACUAAUCAUUCCUGCCAGCCCGGCAAAUCCGUAAUUGGUCAUCAGAGGACUUAUGUUUACAGAAAAUAAAAAAGGUCAUAUUUUUAACUAUUUGUUAUUAGGAAAUGCUAUUUGCUUUGUAUGGGCUUGAUCCUGCCUCCAGUGAGAACCAGUGGGAUGUCUUCUAUUGAUUUGAAUGGCUGUUGUGUCAAACUUUUCUUUGUGGUAAUAAAGCUCAUGGUGUAUUUUAAA